rnacentral:rRNA from 1 species
AACGAACGCUGGCGGCAGGCUUAACACAUGCAAGUCGAGCGAGACCUUCGGGUCUAGCGGCGGACGGGUGAGUAACGCGUGGGAACGUGCCCUUCUCUACGGAAUAGCCCCGGGAAACUGGGAGUAAUACCGUAUACGCCCUCUGGGGGAAAGAUUUAUCGGAGAAGGAUCGGCCCGCGUUGGAUUAGGUAGUUGGUGGGGUAAUGGCCCACCAAGCCGACGAUCCAUAGCUGGUUUGAGAGGAUGAUCAGCCACACUGGGACUGAGACACGGCCCAGACUCCUACGGGAGGCAGCAGUGGGGAAUCUUAGACAAUGGGGGCAACCCUGAUCUAGCCAUGCCGCGUGAGUGAUGAAGGCCUUAGGGUUGUAAAGCUCUUUCAGCUGGGAAGAUAAUGACGGUACCAGCAGAAGAAGCCCCGGCUAACUCCGUG